UUGCUAGCUUCGGAACGCCUCAGGGAUCUUGUGGCAACUUCAGACAGGGUAGCUGCCACGCGUUCCAUUCCUACGACGUUUUUGAGAAGUACUGCAUCGGCCAAACUUCUUGCACGGUACCUGUGACACCCCAGAUCUUUGGAGGUGACCCAUGUCCAAGUGUGAUGAAAAAGCUCUCUGUGGAGGUUGUCUGCAGUUGAGGGUUUAUGAGACGCGUGGUGCAGGUUGUUCGUCGUGCUUUAGAUGUGAUUGUUUUCUUGGGGGCUUUGGUGAGUGAAGUUGUGCAUACAUACAACACACUGUCAAGUCCAGAGCCUCUGAAGAUUUUCUAGGUAAUCAUUUGUAUGUAUAUAGCUAUACUUUGAUUUUCUGCAAAUGUAAUCACGGAGACGGGAUGGAGUGUGCGUCGAGACGACAAAGUGAGUCCGCGCGCGCGUCCAUCUCUUCUUGUUUAGACCAAGAUGCAAGCUAUCUUUGCUUUGCAAGAUUUGGAGAUUUGUAUGUUUCGAUGUGAAUGGAGCAAUUAUUCAUUGCUUCACUUCUCUAUAAAAUAUUUUAUGCAA